rnacentral:rRNA from 1 species
UACAGAGGUCCCAAGCGUUGUUCGGAUUCAUUGGGCGUAAAGGGUGCGUAGGCGGCGCGGGAAGUCGGGUGUGAAAUCUCGGAGCUUAACUCCGAAACUGCAUUCGAUACUGCCGUGCUUGAGGACUGGAGAGGAGACUGGAAUUUACGGUGGUAGCGGAUGAAUGCGGUAGAAUAUCGUAAGGAAGUACCACGUGGAGCGGAACGGAGCGGGGUCGUACG